UACGAAGGGGGCUAGCGUUGCUCGGAAUCACUGGGCGUAAAGCGCACGUAGGCGGCUUUUUAAGUCAGGGGUGAAAUCCUGGAGCUCAACUCCAGAACUGCCUUUGAUACUGAGAAGCUUGAGUCCGGGAGAGGUGAGUGGAACUGCGAGUGUAGAGGUGAAAUUCGUAGAUAUUCGCAAGAACACCAGUGGCGAAGGCGGCUUACCGGUCCGGUUCUGACGCUGAGGCGCGAAAAGCUAGGGUAGCAAACGGG
rnacentral:rRNA from 1 species